GACGAACGCUGGCGGCGUGCUUAACACAUGCAAGUCGAGCGGAGCGGCGAACGGGUGAGUAAAGCGUGAGUAACUGCCACCAUCUCUGGGAUAACAGUUGGAAACGGCUGCUAAUACCGGAUAGUGGGGGAUGACUCGCGUCCUAUCAGCUUGUUUGUGGAGUAGUGGCCUACCAAGUCGACGACGGGUAGCCGGCCUGAGAGGGCGACCGGCCACAAUGGGCUAAGAUACGGCCCAAACUCCUACGGGAGGCAGCAGGGGGGAAUAUUGCACAAUGAGGGAAACCCUGAUGCAGCAACGCGCGGGCGGGAUGACGGCCUUCGGGUUGUAAACCGCUUUCAGCCAUGACGCGGUAGUGGCAGAAGAAGCACCGGCUAACUACGUGCCAGCAGCCGCGGUAAUAC
rnacentral:rRNA from 1 species